CACUAUAGUUUCUCUUCAGAUCGAAUAAAUCUUUUGCCUUUUAAUAAAGAUUUCUGUGGAAAGGAAUGAAAAAAACAGAUCCAACAAUAUGCUGUUUAUAAGAAACAUAUUUCAAA